rnacentral:lncRNA from 1 species
AAUUGAAGUUUGUUCUAUGACCAACAUUGGGUCUGCUCUUAGCACGAUUGGCCUUCCACCAAUCCAGUCUAGCAAAAAGGAACAUAUACUAAGUAAGAACUACUGGAAUUAAAAAAUAAUUUGAUAUACAACAGAAUCACUGAGUAAAAGAAAUAACUUCAAAGGAGUGAUAGAAUAGUAGAUAGAUAUCCUUCAGGAGAAGCCUAGAUAAUCAACAUACCUUUUUUUGCACGGAAAAAC